rnacentral:rRNA from 1 species
ACCGGCAGCUCAAGUGGUGGCCAUUAUUAUUGGGCCUAAAGCGUUCGUAGCCGGUUUGAUAAGUCUCUGGUGAAAUCCCGCAGCUUAACUGUGGGACUUGCUGGAGAUACUAUCAGACUUGAGGUCGGGAGAGGUUAGGGGUACUCCCAGGGUUGGAGUGAAAUGCGAAAAUCCUGGGAGGAGCAACUGUGGCGAAGGCGACUAACUGGAUCGAUCCUGACGGUGAUUAACGAAAGCGAGGGGCGAGAAACG